rnacentral:rRNA from 1 species
GACAGAGGGUGCAAGCGUUGUUCGGAAUUAUUGGGCGUAAAGGGCGCGUAGGCGGCUGAGCAAGUCGAACGUGAAAUCCCUGGGCUUAACCCAGGAAGUGCAUUUGAUACUGCUCAACUUGAGUCCCGGAGAGGGUGGUGGAGUUCCCAGUGUAGAGGUGAAAUUCGUAGAUAUUGGGAAGAACACCGGUGGCGAAGGCGGCGACCUGGUCCUUGACUGACGCUGAGGCGCGAAAGCGUGGGGAGCAAACAGG